rnacentral:rRNA from 1 species
GACGAACGCUGGCGGCGUGCCUAAUACAUGCAAGUCGAACGAACCGCGACUAGGUGCUUGCACUUGGUCAAGGUGAGUGGCGAACGGGUGAGUAACACGUGGGUAACCUACCUCAUAGUGGGGGAUAACAGUCGGAAACGACUGCUAAUACCGCAUAGGACAUAGGAUCACAUGAUCCAGUGAGGAAAGGUGGCGCAAGCUAUCGCUAAGAGAUGGACCCGCGGUGCAUUAGCUAGUUGGUAGGGUAAAGGCCUACCAAGGCGAUGAUGCAUAGCCGACCUGAGAGGGUGAUCGGCCACAUUGGGACUGAGACACGGCCCAAACUCCUACGGGAGGCAGCAGUAGGGAAUCUUCCGCAAUGGACGCAAGUCUGACGGAGCAACGCCGCGUGAGUGAAGAAGGUCUUCGGAUCGUAAAGCUCUGUUGUUAGAGAAGAACAGCGCAUAGAGUAACUGUUAUGCGUGUGACGGUAUCUAACCAGAAAGCCACGGCUAACUACGU